ACCUUGUGAUUCUUAGGCUUUUGGAACCGGUGGAGAGAAGAAAUGCAAAAGAGUUGGAGACUUUGACUGGAGAAUUCCCUGCACGCUUCCAGGAGAGCUUAUUGGGCAAUUCUGAUAGGAACUUAGAAGGCAAGAAUUCUAAAAGACAAUGCUGACAGUGAGACUCGUGAGGUUUGGUGGGGAGCAAGGACUCUGUGUGGAACUAGGCAAGGAGCCACUUGUGUGACAGACAUCCUGGCAAAGACUCUGGCUGCUCUCUGCCUGUCCUGAGAGCUGGGGUGAGGCUGAGUUUGAAGGCAAUGAUCUAACUCACUUGCAGGAGGAAGUUUCAGACAGGAGGGUAUCCAAGCUGUGGCACAGGCUUACAGUGAGAGACAGUAAAAACUGGAGCAGAAAGGACAGGAAGGGAAGGAAGGUGUGGGCAAUUUCAAGUUUCAGUCAAGGAGGGUGCUGGUAGUGACACAUUUGUAAUUGUUAAAAAUAUUAGAAACAUUAAAGAGAAAUGCAGCGUUUGGAACAGCUGGAAAGCAUUGUGAGGGUAAGAUCGUCCCCAUCAAGGCUUUGCCUUGUGAAAAUGCUAAACUCAGGUUGUUGCUUAAUGGUUCCUGACCUUCAAAACACCUGUCCCUGGAAAUGCGCUCUAGGUCAGCACACAGAGGCUGAUGCAACUAAGUUUCAGGCAGGCCAGGCUCCACCCCCGGCUGGCAGCAAAACUUGGCAUCUUCAUUGUCUUGCUUUGCCAGCUUCUCUUUGCCCUGGUUUUGUAGGCAUGAAUGAUUACGGGGAUUGUGGAAUCUUACUCCACAGUUUUAGAGAGCCACUGAGCAUUGGAGAUGGCAGGACCAUGGGACAUGCACAAAGGGAAGCUUUAAACUUGGAGUGGAGUUGGCCCCAAGGAAAGAUCCUGUGUGCUACAGGCAGAAGAGCUGAAUGAGAAAGGAACCCAGACGCUUCCAUCAUGAGCUCCAAAUGCCUGACAUGGAACCACAGGAUGCAUGCCCUUCUGGGUUUAAUGUGGAUCUGAUCAUUCUUUCUGGGACCCUGUUCUUCCCUUGUAGGAUAUUUUAUCAGAGAGACAGGACAAAUAGGGAAUACACCUGGGUUGUUUCUCCUCUCAGACGAAGAUGAAUAGUGCUGCUGUGAAUGCUCAUCGAGACAAGCUCCUGUGUGUGGAGAAACUCUCAGUUUUACUGGACUGGGGUUGCUUAGAGGAACUAGACCAUGUGGCAACCUGAGCACAGGGCUGACAAGAGGCUAUCAGGGGCCAAACACAUGCAUCGCUCUCACCCAGUGGGCAGAUGCAAUUUCAAGAGCUUUGACGCCAGGUCAAUAAGUUAUUAUGGAUGUGAAUGGGCCGGAUUUCUCUCGGGAGAGUCAACCCUCAGCCCUGUUUUCAGGUAAUAAUCCCUGCCAGGGGACACAGGCAUGACAGUUGGCAAAUGCCUGCACACAGCGCCGAAACCUGAAGAUGAUGUGGUGGCUCCAACCCCCCCAAAGCAACCUAUGAAUCCUCACAGUGCCCUUUUCCCACCCCACCCCACCCCACCAUCCUGGGCAAAAUGUAAAAGGAGGAGGGGAUGGCAAACAGCAGAUCUAUCACCAGAUCUAUUAUUCCUAGGGACUGCACACGUGUCUGACUUACGUCACUGUGGAGACAGACUAGAUGUUGGUGGACCAGGAGUUGAGGAAUGAAGAUGGAGUAUGGAAAGUGAGGUUGCUUUUCAGCCUCCGCGAGCAAAAGCUAAGGAAAGCCAGAGGCUAGGUAGAGAUUUCCAGAGGAGUACAGCCAGUAGGAGGUAUACUCUCCCAUACUAGAUCUAUAUGUACGGACAUCUAUCAUCUGUCAUACAAUUCUGGCUCCUGCACAUUAUGGAGGCUGAGAAAGCCCCACACGGAGCAGGAGACUCAGGAAAGUUUCUGGUGUGGCUUGAAAGCCUGAAAGCUGAGAUCCUUGGCAGUGAAUCCACACGUGACAGCCAGCGGCACUGAGGGCAGGCGAUUAUCAUUCUGGUGGCAUCUCAUAAUUUUGGUUUGCAUUGACUUAAUGGCGAACACAGUUAAGUACCUCUCCAUCUGCCAGGAAUAUCCUUUUUAAAAAAACAAUUUGGCAGUACAUGUCAAAAAUUACUGAAUGUGCAUAUAAUUUUAUCAUAAUACCUUGAUUCUGGAGUUCAUUCCAAGAAACGAUUAUGGUUGGCUAAGAAGACCUCUGGAAAAGACAGUCACCUUUGCAGGAGGCAGGUAGGUCCUUGUUCUUACAGAUAAGGACUAGAGAAACCAGAAAGGUCAAAGACACAGGGUUAUCUAUUCAAAGGAGAGAUGUAUAACCUGUAUUCCACCCAGAAGGUUGGGCAUGAAUGAAUGUGGCUUAAUAGUCUGGUGACUUUUGUGUUAUCUGUAUGGGCAGGACACACUGGCUCCCCAAGACCCUUAUCUUGAACAUGUUUAUCUCAAUCAGUCUAUAGCUCUACCCUCCCCCUUAAUCAGGAGCAUUGUUUACUUUGAACCUUUUCCCUCAGUUAAUCUAUAGAAUCUAUCUUUAUGGAAAAUGUCAUUUGUAUUUUGCAAGAGUGUCCAUGUGUUCUUGUUUUAAGGUUUGUCGUGUGCACAGGGUUAAGUUAAUCAUUAUCAGGAAACUUAUUCACAAAUUGUGCUGUGCUUAAAUAUGUUUAAAAUAAACUACCUUGUGUCAGACUCUUUCUUGAACCAACACUGGCUACUGAGUCAUGUUGAACCUGACUUCCCUCUUGUCUCUCAUGGAUCAACACUCUGUUGGCUGUGGUGUUUGCAGAGACCCCCACACAACAUAUUAUGUAGCCGUGGCGGUUUCUGCAAACAAAAGUUCAACCUUAUGGGCAGAGCUCCUAAGAAAUAGUGUCUUCCAGAUAUAACAGGGCCACUAUAUUUAUGGACUCAUAGUAACUCCGGUAACUUUCAUAAGACCUGUACAAGAUCAAGCCAAUCAACAGUCCAGCCUGGAUGAGGGGGGGCACGAAAGGGUCCACUUUGAGCUGAGGAGUUAUUUAUCAUUAAUGGCUCCUGACAGUCAGUUUCCUAAGGGAUAGUCCUUGACAGGUUUCCCAUACUCCAGUGGGUGACCCACAUCUAAGCACACAAGGACAAUACUGAUUAGACUCAGUGUGUUACUAGAAAAUUUAAUGGGCAAUUGGGAGAGGAACAUGGCUGGAAGUCCAGGAGGAGCUGGAGGAGGAAUAAAGGCAAUUGUAAUCAAAAUAUAUUGUUUAUAUGUAUGACAUUCUCAAAGAAUAAAUUAGAACAUUAAAAAAGUCCAACCACUGAGCAUUGAUUAAAUGAAUCCAUUCAUGAAAGGCAACCUGAUAAAAAAAAUUGGAAAUAAUUAUAUGAAGACUAAUGACAUGGCUGAAUAAAAAUGCAGACUAUGAAAGAUAAAACCCUAAAUAUAUUUUAAAAUGUAUAAAUAUAUGGAGAAGGAAGCUCUAAAGAUACGACCCAAAAUGUUAACAGUGAAAUAGAUGUAGAAAACCAAAUGGACAAUGCAUCGAUCCUUCCAAAAUAAAAAUCCCCAACAGGAUUACUAUGUGAUAUUGGAUAUGGUAAAAAAAAAUUAAAAUCAGGGUUUCAAACAGAUAUCUGUAGACUGUGACCCUGGCAGCAUUAUUCACCAUAAUCAAAGGGUGGGCAUAAGCUAAGGUUUUGUCCCAAGCGCUUUACGAUGUAAUCCAUACGCCCCAACUUAUCCACUUAACACACAGAAUAGUUUUAGUAUAAUCCUAGGGUUUUGACACCAUCACCAUAAUCAGUUUUAGAAAGUUUCUGAGUCUUCAAAAGAAGCUGUGAGCCUUUAUCAGUCACUCCCCAUUUCUUCCUACCUAGUCCUGAGCCCUGGACAAGGACCAGGUACUUUUGACAUCAUUGUGUCAAUGGAGAGAAGAUCUGGCAAGCUGCUAUCACUUAGUUAAGUAUUUCCAAGGUCUGUAUGUGGUGUAGUGUGUAGUAGGAUAAUAUUAUUUCUAUGCAUAAAUAUAUAUUGUGCAGAUUUAUUCACCUGUUUAUUAGUUUGUGAGCAGUUUUGGCAUAGUAAGUAAUGCUGCUAUGAGCAUUCUUAUACAAGGUUUAUUUAUUUGUUUGUUUGUUUGCUUAUUUAUUGAUCCAUUUAGUGAGGAUACCUGUUUGAUUUUCUCGAUCAUACAUUAGCUAUGUUAUUUGAAGAACUAUCAGAUCUUUCCUAAGUGUUUGUGCCAUCAACCACUCUCAGCAGCAUUAAAUAGAUUUGGUUUUUGCAUUUAGGUCUUCGAUAAACUUUUCACAAUUACAUUUAUUUUAGUGUGUGUGUACAUGCGGGCAUGUGGGCAUGGUGUGUGCGUGUGUGUGUGUGUGUGUGUGUGUGUGUGUGAGAGAGAGAGAGAGAGAGAGAGAGAGAGAGAGAGAUCAGAGUUGCUUCUUUCUUUCCUUCCUAUCCAUCCUGUAAGCCUGGAGAUUAAAACUCAGUUCAUCAGGUUUGGCUAUCUGUUGAGUUGUUUGGCGGGCUCUGGUACAUUUUGUUGAGAAAUGGUAUUUUUUUUCCUUUUACCUGUGGGUGUCCAGCUGUCCCUUUACAAUUUGUCGAGAAGCCCAUUCUUUCUCUCCUGGAUUGUCUUGGCAUGCUUGUGGAUAAUCAGCUGGCCAUCAGUGUGGAGGUUUCUUCUCAUCUCUGUUCUUGUCCGUUCAUCUAUGUGUUUAUCCUAUUUCAUUUCUAAACUUGGAUUACUGUAGCCCUGGAGCGGGCUUCAAAUCGGAAAGUUUGAGCCUGCCAGCAUGGUCUGUUUUAAAGACAUUCUUAUUAUUUUAGAUUCUUUGAAUUUCUGGACCAGUUUUAGAAUUCAUUUGUUGAUUUCUGCAAAGGAGUCAGCUGAGAUAUUCAGGCAUCACACUGAAUUGUUUUCUUGUUUUGCUUUAAAAAAUCUUUUUAUUAUUUGAGAAGUUUUAGAUGCACAUAAUGUCUUUUGGUCAAAUCCAUCCCUAAUUCCACCCUCUGAUUCCUUCUUCAUUUUCCCCACCCUCAACUUCCUGUGCUUUGCUCUAUGGGUAUGGGUGUAGGACCAGCUACUGAAGCAUGUGUCUCUCCAUGAGCACAUUCUUAAAGAGAACUGAGUUUCCUUCUAUGAGCAGUCAUCAGUUACCAAAAGUUCCUUGGCUAGGGGAGGGGCUUCAUGAGCCCCUGUCCCUUCUGUGCUGGGAUUUCGGCUGAUUUAUUCUUUGGUCGUGUGCCUAUGACUCACAGUCAUAACCACUGUGAGUGCAUGUGUGUAACAGCCCUGUGGAACACACCAGGCACACAGGUCAGUUUGAUCUGUGUUGUCAUCUAAACAAUAGUGGGUCUUCUAAUCCAUGAACACAGUUGUCUCUUGAUUGACUUAAAUCUUCUAUAAUUUCUUUCAACAAUAUUUUUCUUUUAAGAGUUAUAAGUUACUUAGCGAUUUUUUUACCUUCAUAUGAGAAAUUGCAGUAAUCCCCCCUGACUCCCUUCUCCCAUCCUUUCUUCCAGUGGAGCCCCUUCUUCUCCACAAAUCCCCCUCUCCCUCUCAUAUCUUCUUCUUGUGUUUGACCCACUGAGUUUAAUUAGUUUCCUGCCCUACCUCAUCCAUAUUUGGGUUGUAAAUUAUAGAAGUCUUUUGUUAACGGGCACAUUUUUCGUAGUAGGACAUGAAAUAAAAUAAAACAUAAAAUUUGCUAUUUUAAGGUAUCAUUUGGUGUCAUUAAGAGCAUCCCCAUGCCUGUGCACCCUUCACCCACCACUAGAAUGCUUCCAUUCAUCCAAAUGAAACUCCCUGCCAUUAAGCACCACCUUGUCCCUGCCUCCUCCUCUGAGAGCCUAGCAGCAAGAGUCCCACUUUCUGUCUCUAGAAUUUGAUCACUCUGAAUCCCUCGAGAAGAAACCUACAAUACAUGGUCUUGUAAGCAGAACCUGAUCAAGCUGUCACAGCCAGACUCGAGUGAGCAGAGCCAGGAAUUAAAUCUUAAGGAUGUGCUUUACUUAGAGCAGUAAUCUGAAAAGACGGUGGAUUCCUAUCCUAGAGAUCUAAUUCCGGCUUUAUCUCCAGACAGCAGACUCUACAGGGAGAAAGGACUGGGUGGAACAAAGGCAGUCAUCGGCCGUUCUGUAACUCAGCCUUGCCCCUCUGGUCAGGCGGUCAGCCAUGUUUUUGAGACUUAUGAUGUCUGUGUGUUUCUCAUGCUCUUUGUCCUUGCGCUCUACCCUCACUCAGUGCCUGGGCUCAGGCAAUCUUUGAGACCCGAGUCAAGUUGGGUUCUACUGGCAUCAACAUUGUACUCUUCCAGGGUCAUGGAGGGGGGGCUUUAGGGGAGGGCUAACGCGCAACAGAGCACUAGCAGGUGUGUACUCGCUCAGCUAGGGAUUUCUACAAUCCAGAGUACAAGUGUGUCUUUGUAAUACAGAGACUGAAGACGCGCCCUGCUGUUCUUUCUGUCGUCUCUCCGGCUUUUAUGUGUAUGUGCUUGUUACACAUAGCGCAGUGUCUUCAAGGUUCAUCUACACUGCGGCCUGUGGCAGCAUCCCUUCCCUUCCAAAGGCUGCAAUUGCACUUGUCAGCGGUUUCAUUUGCUGUUGAUACUUGGUUCGUUGCCCCUGUUCGGUUCUUAUGAGAAACACAGUGUUAACAUGGAUGCAUAUGAGUCUAUCUGAAUCCUACUUUUAGUUCUUUUGGACGAAUCCCAGAAGCAGAGUUUCUGAAUCAUCUGGUGAUUCUUUUUAAAUUUGGGGUUAUAGAUAAUUUUAAUGUGCUAUUUUUCUGUUUUCUGAUUUAUAGUGAGAUAAUAGACAUUAUUUUUUUUAAAAUAAUAAUGAUGUGAAUACAGUCUGUAUAGAAAGUGGACAAUGGUUCUGCGACCCUCUCCUCCAUCUCUCGGGAUCUGCAGACCUGCUGUGUUUGCAGUGGAGACGAUACAUGUUCCUUGGAGUUAUUUUAUGACCAUGUGGUAACUUAUCUCCUUCUGUCUGCAGCCUCGUGAGUCACAGCAAAUACCCUAGAUGUCUUCUGUAGCAAUAAGGCUUGACUCUCGAGUAUUCUGCAAUCCCCACCACCACCACCACCACUCAGUGCAGAGGCAUUGACCUCCCUCAACUCUGGACGCUUCAGCUAUUGACGCUCCGACACUGUGGUCUUCCUUUUCCCAGGCAGCGCGUAAAAUGGGCAGGGCCGAGUUCAACCGAGAAGCCUAGCUGAACAAGCCAACACGCAAAUGAGAACAAGAGCCCCGGGACUUUCCUAAGACAAACAGAGGAUCUGGAAGAACAAUAUUUAGCAGAACUCAAAGCUUCCCCUUCCAGAUUAAGACAACAACUUGGAGCAGAUGACUUAAAAUAUUUAAAACCCACUUUA